rnacentral:rRNA from 1 species
UACGAAGGUCCCGAGCGUUGUUCGGAAUCACUGGGCGUAAGGGGAGCGUAGGCGGUUGGGUAAGUCAGAUGUGAAAUCCCGGGGCUCAACCCCGGAACUGCAUCCGAUACUGCCCGACUUGAGUAGUGGAGGGGUAACCGGAAUUCUCGGUGUAGCAGUGAAAUGCGUGGAUAUCGAGAGGAACACUCGUGGCGAAGGCGGGUUACUGGACACUUACUGACGCUGAGGCUCGAAGGCCAGGGUAGCGAAAGGG